UACGGAGGAGGCAAGCGUUAUCCGGAAUUAUUGGGCGUAAAGCGUCCGCAGGUGGCACUUCAAGUCUGUCGUCAAAGACUGGGGCUUAACUCUGGAAAGGCGGUGGAAACUGAAGCGCUAGAGUGUGGUAGGGGUAGAGGGAAUUCCCGGUGUAGCGGUGAAAUGCGCAGAUAUCAGGAAGAACACCCGUGGCGAAGGCGGCUCUCUGGGACGGUACUGACGCUGAGACGCGAAAGCGUGGGGAGCGAACAGG
rnacentral:rRNA from 1 species